rnacentral:rRNA from 1 species
UACAGAGGUCUCAAGCGUUUGUUCGGAUUCAUUGGGGCGUAAAGGGUGUGUAGGUGGCGCGCUAAGUCGGGUGUGAAAAUUUCGGAGCUUAACUCCGAAACUGCAUUCGAUACUGGCGUGCUUGAGGACUGGAGAGGAGACUGGAAUUCAUGGUGAGCAGUGAAAUGCGUAGAGAUCAUGAGGAAGACCAGUGGCGAAGGCGGGUCUCUG